UUUGUUGGACGCUAGCGGCGGAUGGGUGAGUAACACGUGGGCAAUCUGCCCUAAAGACUGGGAUACCACUUGGAAACAGGUGCUAAUACCGGAUAACAACAUGAAUCGCAUGAUUCAAGUUUGAAAGGCGGCGUAAGCUGUCACUUUAGGAUGAGCCCGCGGCGCAUUAGCUAGUUGGUGGGGUAAAGGCCUACCAAGGCAAUGAUGCGUAGCCGAGUUGAGAGACUGAUCGGCCACAUUGGGACUGAGACACGGCCCAAACUCCUACGGGAGGCAGCAGUAGGGAAUCUUCCACAAUGGACGCAAGUCUGAUGGAGCAACGCCGCGUGAGUGAAGAAGGUUUUCGGAUCGUAAAGCUCUGUUGUUGGUGAAGAAGGAUAGAGGCAGUAACUGGUCUUUAUUUGACGGUAAUCAACCAGAAAGUCACGGCUAACUACGUGCCAGCAGCCGCGGUAAUACGUAGGUGGCAAGCGUUGUCCGGAUUUAUUGGGCGUAAAGCGAGCGCAGGCGGAAUGAUAAGUCUGAUGUGAAAGCCCACGGCUCAACCGUGGAACUGCAUCGGAAACUGUCAUUCUUGAGUGCAGAAGAGGAGAGUGGAAUUCCAUGUGUAGCGGUGGAAUGCGUAGAUAUAUGGAAGAACACCAGUGGCGAAGGCGGCUCUCUGGUCUGCAACUGACGCUGAGGCUCGAAAGCAUGGGUAGCGAACAGGAUUAGAUACCCUGGUAGUCCAUGCCGUAAACGAUGAGCGCUAGGUGUUGGGGACUUUCCGGUYCUCAGUGCCGCAGCAAACGCAUUAAGCGCUCCGCCUGGGGAGUACGACCGCAAGGUUGAAACUCAAAGGAAUUGACGGGGGCCCGCACAAGCGGUGGAGCAUGUGGUUUAAUUCGAAGCAACGCGAAGAACCUUACCAGGUCUUGACAUCCUGUGCUACACCUAGAGAUAGGUGGUUCCCUUCGGGGACGCAGAGACAGGUGGUGCAUGGCUGUCGUCAGCUCGUGU
rnacentral:rRNA from 1 species